AUUCAAAACAACUUGCCACAAGGUUGGAAAGCAGUUCAAGCAUCACGGACGCUGAAAUCUGCAUCUCGCUUCUCAAGGGGACUCCUCUUGGGGAUGUGGGGGACCGGGAGGUUGUGAAGGAUCAGUUGCAUAAUCAUGAUGUGUCCUCUCCUGCCGCGGACCGGACGAGGCGGUGGCGCCCGCCUGAGGCCGGUCACGCUGGGGAGGCCCACCCUCCCCGGGGGGGGAGAGGUGUGCAGAGCACCAGGCAGCUCCUGGAGGCGCAGAAGAAUUCCCACGGGAGACUGGGAAGAAGCGGGCCUGCCCGGAAAGUCGCAGGGGUGGAAUACGACGGGCUCCACCAGUGCACGAGCUGGGCUCCCAGCCCAUCUGGCCUCAGGCGCUGCCAGCGCGUGGGGCCCAUGAGCAGCAGCCUCCGCACCCCCCGCCCCAAGGUCAGCAUUUCACCAGCCUGAGUGCCGUUUGCUUGGUGUCCGACACAGCCAUCUGUCAGAUGUUCCGGGGAACCUGGCCGCAAGGGAAGCGCUAUCUGGGAACCAGGAACAGUGAAGCUGGUCCGUUCCCCAGGAAGAGAGAGACCGAAGGAAAAAUUAACCCAGGAACUGAGUCACGCAUCCAUGUCUAUCCGUGUGCGGGGAGUCGGAUUCGAUCCCUCCGUCUUGGCCAGACCGCAGACAGGGUCGUCUCGGCGCGAGCAGAGGACCUGGAAGUUACUACGCUCUCGGGAACCACGGUCCACAGGUAAUGCUGUUGGACACCUGAGCUGGAGAACACCUGUCUUAGAUGAAGACCUUUGUGACUCUUGGCUUAGACCACCUUCUAUCUUCAGAGGCCAAGGUAGGUGUGUGGUGCCUUCACUGGCUCCCAGACACAACAUACUCUUUUUAAAGAGUUUGUGCACUCGGGCUGUCACUUGCCCAUUGGCCCAGGCUAAGUAGCUAUCUGUGCUGAAAAACUAUGGGGCAGAUACAAUGUGCUAGCUGCAGUGUUCCCUGGUGAUGGCCGGCAGGUGCAAAUCUGAAAUGCAGACUCAUUGCGUGGCUAUAAUUCUUCCUAAUAACUCAGAAGAAGGGGCCAAGAGCAUUUCCCCAAGGUACUACUUGCCUGUAAAUGACACUCCAGAGGGAGAAGAAGGAAGCUCCCCCUGAUUUUCUUUCCCUGGCCUUGGGCAGUGUGGGCAUUUAUCUUCACAAACGAUGCUCAAAAUAUGUUUGGCAUCAAUCUGGUUUUUGGGGUUGUUUUUUGUUUUUUGGGGUUUUUUUUUUAAUGGGAGUGUACAAAAGCUUGUGCCAGUACCUUUAAAUAUUUUAGACGCUCCUAAAAUGUCAUCUGGCUGAACCAAUCUUUUUUUUCCAAUUUGGUGUGAGAUGCACGAAUGCUAAUUUAAGCAAUCGACUCAUAACUGAGCAAUGAAACCAUGACAGAAGAAGCUCUCUGUGCAGGCGGGGAUGGGGCCAUAACUCCUUCUGUGUAGGAACAUGCCACAGUAUUGCAAAAGUGUUGGCUUGUCUCCCGGAGUGAUAAGAACACCGUUAAUGUUCCUUAGAGCUGCUUCCUAUAGGCGGUUCAACCUAUGUUUCAGGAGGGCAACAUCAAAACCAAUGACGUAUCUGUUGAAGUGCUAGAGAGGCCACCUUCACUUUGACCAAGAACCUCUGGAUCCUGUUUGCUGCUGUCACUGGCCGUGUGGCCUUGGGCAAGUUAUUUUAACCUCUCAUGUGCAAAAUAAGGUUAACAGUGAUGCUUCCUGGGGUUGUUGUGAGGGUUAUGAGUUAAUGUGGGUGAAACAGUUCAAGGGUUCCUUGGCGAAGAGUAAGUGCUCAUGAGGAUGACCUGUCAUCCCACCAUUUUGAAACACCGCCACUAGAUGGGUUUUUCCGGGGAGUGAGGUUGCAUCCUGUUCCCAAUUCAGUAAUCACUGGGGGCAUUGCUGCAAAGCUUUGAAACCUUCCCCACCCCACCUCAAACACACGCAUGUACACACACACACACACACACACACACACACACCUCUGGAUGGCCUCCUCACUCCCACAGGAUCCUACACAGAGUAGAUGCUCAAACCUUCCACCUUGGCUUGAGAUAAUGUGGCUCUGAUCACCUGGGGUAGAAAGGGGCACAGCUGGCUUUGCUGAGGACACUCAGGAAACAUGCAGAGCUUCUGGGUCAUUGGAAUCUUCUAGAAGCUCACUUAGUCCCACAUGAGUCCCAGAUGAGUCUCCUCCUCAUCUUCUGCCGGGAAAUGAAGCUCUUCUCUUCCAGGGAAGGCUGUCAGUGCCAAGCUCACCUUUGCUCCAUUUGCAACCGCCCUGGGCAACUGGAGGCUGCACUGCCCCUAGAGGCUUGGGGCAUUUUGUCCCCAAAGUUUUUAUGGUAGAGAUCCUUUUGUUUCUCUAACUGUAUACCAUAAAAUAUUUUCUUUUUA